rnacentral:rRNA from 1 species
GACAGAGGAUGCUAGCGUUAUCCGGAAUGAUUGGGCGUAAAGCGUCUGUAGGUGGCUUUUUAAGUUCGCCGUCAAAUCCCAGGGCUCAACCCUGGACAGGUGGUGGAAACUACCAAGCUAGAGUACGGUAGGGGCAGAGGGAAUUUCCGGUGGAGCGAUGAAAUGCGUAGAGAUCGGAAGGAACACCCAAGGCGAAAGCACUCUGCUGGGCCGACACUGACACUGAGAGACGAAAGCUAGGGGAGCAAAUGGG